rnacentral:rRNA from 1 species
AUUGAACGCUGGCGGCAUGCUUUACACAUGCAAGUCGAACGGUAACAGGCCGCAAGGUGCUGACGAGUGGCGAACGGGUGAGUAAUGCAUCGGAACGUGCCCAGUCGUGGGGGAUAACGCAGCGAAAGCUGUGCUAAUACCGCAUACGAUCUAUGGAUGAAAGCGGGGGACCGUAAGGCCCCGCUCGAUUGGAGCGGCCGAUGUCAGAUUAGGUAGUUGGUGGGGUAAAGGCCUACCAAGCCGACGAUCUGUAGCUGGUCUGAGAGGACGACCAGCCACACUGGGACUGAGACACGGCCCAGACUCCUACGGGAGGCAGCAGUGGGGAAUUUUGGACAAUGGGCGCAAGCCUGAUCCAGCAAUGCCGCGUGCAGGAAGAAGGCCUUCGGGUUGUAAACUGCUUUUGUACGGAACGAAACGGUCUGGGUUAAUACCCUGGGCUAAUGACGGUACCGUAAGAAUAAGCACCGGCUAACUACGUGCCAGCCGCCGCAGUAAGAC